CCAGAGAGAGCUCAGGAGGGACUCAGCUUUGGGCCAGUGCUGAACUUCCUUCCGAGGAGAGGGAGGGGGAAGCAUCUGGGGUCUGUGCAUUGCUCCAGAUUAGGUAACCCAAAGUCACGGGAAGAGCUGAAGGGAAGAGUGGAUGUAAGUGUUGUCUGACAGAGCUUUCACCACGACAGAGCACACAGAGAGAGGAGUGUUUAAGGUUGCCGGCGCAGGACGGGCUAUAUUUAACUCCCACGUCACGCAGGCUGCUCCAGCAGCGCCCCGCGACACCACCGAGGCACAAAAGGAAUUCGGCUCCUAAAGAUAAAUGAACGACAGCAGAGAAGCCAAAGCCCUGAGCCGGGGGCGAUGCUGGUGCCCCCAUGCCCGGGCUGUUCCCCAGCCCUGGCGCUCCGGGCUGUCCCCAGGGCCGGGACAGGGCUGGGGCACCCCCGGGCUGCCCCGGCUGAGCCUGGCUCCCAGAAAAGUGACCCCGAGGAGGCCCCUGUCCCCGAGCACCCAGAGCUAGCACAGGGACCUGCUGCGCUGACAGGGGCACUGCUCCUGCCGGGGUCCC